GACGAACGCUGGCGGCGUGCUUAACACAUGCAAGUCGAACGGAAAGGCCCUGCUUUUGUGGGGUGCUCGAGUGGCGAACGGGUGAGUAACACGUGAGUAACCUGCCCUUGACUUUGGGAUAACUUCAGGAAACUGGGGCUAAUACCGGAUAGGAGCUCCUGCUGCAUGGGGGGGGUUGGAAAGUUUCGGCGGUUGGGGAUGGACUCGCGGCUUAUCAGCUUGUUGGUGGGGUAGUGGCUUACCAAGGCUUUGACGGGUAGCCGGCCUGAGAGGGUGACCGGCCACAUUGGGACUGAGAUACGGCCCAGACUCCUACGGGAGGCAGCAGUGGGGAAUAUUGCACAAUGGGCGGAAGCCUGAUGCAGCAACGCCGCGUGCGGGAUGACGGCUUUCGGGUUGUAAACCGCUUUCGCCUGUGACGAAGCGUGAGUGACGGUAAUGGGUAAAGAAGCACCGGCUAACUACGUG
rnacentral:rRNA from 1 species